rnacentral:rRNA from 1 species
GGCUAACGCUGGCGGCGUGCCUCAAACAUGCAAGUCGAGCGAGGCUAUGAGUUACCGCAAGGUAAGGCAUAGCCUAGCGGCGAACGGGUGAGUAACACGUGGGUAACCUACCUGGAAGACAGGGAUAACGAUUCGAAAGGGUCGCUAAUACCUGAUAAUAUCCGUCUGCCGGAUGGCGGAGGGAAGAAAGGGGAAACCCGCUUUCAGAUGGGCCCGCGUCCCAUCAGCUAGUUGGUAAGGUAAAGGCUUACCAAGGCGACGACGGGUAGCCGGUCUGAGAGGAUGUACGGCCACACUGGGACUGAGAUACGGCCCAGACUCCUACGGGAGGCAGCAGUUGGGAAUCUUAGGCAAUGGACGAAAGUCUGACCUAGCGACGCCGCGUGAGGGAAGAAGGCCUCGGUUGUAACUCUGUCAUGGGGAGAAGGAAGUGACGGUACCCAACGAGGAAGCCCUCGCUAACUACGUG